UCUCAAAGAUUAAGCCAUGCAUGUCUAAGUACGAACUAAGUGAUGGUGAAACUGCAAAUGGCUCAAUACAACGGUUAUGAUGCGCCCGGGAGUUCCGAUGGAUAUUUCCAGUAACACUAGAGCUAAUACAUGUAACUGCGUUUAUUAGUUUCCAACAGUCUGUCGCUGAGUCAUGGUAAACGGUUGAUCGACUCGACGUCCCGGAACAGUUUCCGCCCCAUCAGCUUCGAUGGUUGGGUAUUGGCCUACCAUUGCAACAACGGGUGACGAGGAAUUAGGGUUUGAUUUCGGAGAGGGAGCCUGAGAAACGGCUACCACAUCUACGGAUGGCAGCAGGCGCGCAAAUUACCCAAUGCAGACACUGUGAGGUAGUGACGAGAAAUAAUAAAGCGGGGCUUCUGUCUUGCUAUUAUAAUGAGGAAUAACCAAAGGCCAUUCCUAUUAGCAACUGAUGGGAAAGUCUGGUGCCAGCAGCCGCGGAGACCCACACAGAAAUGAAAGUGUAUGGGUUCUGGGGGUAGUAUGGACACAAGUCUGGAACUUGAAGGAAUUGACGGAAGAGCACCAUAAGACGUGGAGCUUGCGGCUUAAUUUGACUCAACGCGGGAAAACUUACCAGGUCAAGACAUGGGCGUGAUUGACAGGCUGAUGACCUUUCUCGAUUCCUUGGAUGGUGGUGCAUGGUCGCACUUAGUUGGUGCAGUGAUUUGUCAGGUUUAUUCCGGUAACGAACGAGACCUCGGCCUUGUAACUAGUUUACUGCUUACAGGGACAAUGUCGGCUACGUCAAGGAAGUUCGAGGCAAUUGCAGAUCUGGAAUGCCCUUAGAUGUCCUGGGUCGCACGCGUGCUACAAUGACGCCACGAGCGAGUGUGCGUGACGGAACUCACGUGAAAUCAGCAAUCGGCGUCUUCAGGGACAGUCUCUUGUAACUGUGGGACUCGAACUAGGAAUGUCUCGUAAGCACAAGUCAACAUCUUGUGUUGAUUACGUCCCUGCUCUUUGUACACACCGCCCGUCGCUCCUACCGAUCGAGUGUUUAGAUGAAUUUGACGGACUAGCGGAAGUCAAAUGAAUCUGAUCACUUAGAGGAAGGAGAAGUCGUAACAAGGUUUCCGUAGGUGAACCUGCAGAAGGAU
rnacentral:rRNA from 1 species